ACAGGUUGGUAUCUCAGGAAUU
rnacentral:miRNA from 1 species